rnacentral:rRNA from 1 species
AAGAGCUCAAAUUUGUAAUCUGGCGUUGUUUCAGCGUCCGAGUUGUAAUCUAAAGAAGUGUUUUCUGUGCCGGACCGUGUCCAAGUCUCUUGGAAAAGAGUAUCAAAGAGGGUGAUAAUCCCGUACUUGACACGACGACCGGUGCUCUGUGAUACACUCUCUACGAGUCGAGUUGUUUGGGAAUGCAGCUCUAAACGGGUGGUAAAUUCCAUCUAAAGCUAAAUAUUGGCGAGAGACCGAUAGCGAACAAGUACCGUGAGGGAAAGAUGAAAAGCACUUUGGAAAGAGAGUUAAACAGUAUGUGAAAUUGUUGAAAGGGAAACGAUUGAAGUCAGUCGUGUCGAUUAGAUUCAGCCGUCUCUGGCGGUCUACUUCUAGUCGACGGGUCAACAUCAGUUGGAUUCGGUGGAUAAUGGCGGUGGGAAGGUAGCAACCUCGGUUGUGUUAUAGCCCGCUGUCGCAUACACUGGACCCGACUGAGGAUCGCAGCUCGCCUUUAUGGCCGGGGUUCGCCCACGUUCGAGCUUAGGAUGUUGACAUAAUGGCUUUAAACGACCCGUCUUGA